CACACACACAACAGGCACUUUGCCCCUGACUGACAGUAUUGCAUUCUGGUCUAUGGAGGCAGCUGUCAGUGUGAAGCUGUAAUCUCUGCCUCUCCUAUGAUGGAUUUCUCCCUGUAUGAUUGUUGAACGCCCGUGAUAAUGGUCACCUGACUCACAGAAAACUUCAGCUUAUUCAGAAUGCUGCCACUAUUGUCCUAAAAUAAGACCAAGAAAACGGAC